AAACCAACAGGGAUUGCCCCAGUAACGGCGAGUGAAGCGGCAACAGCUCAAAUUUGAAAUCUGGCGCAAGCCCGAGUUGUAAUUUGCAGAGGAUGCUUCUAGGCAGCGGCCGGUCUAAGUUCCUUGGAACAGGACGUCAUAGAGGGUGAGAAUCCCGUAUGUGACCGGUUGGCACCUUCCACGUAGCUCCUUCGACGAGUCGAGUUGUUUGGGAAUGCAGCUCUAAAUGGGAGGUAAAUUUCUUCUAAAGCUAAAUACCGGCCAGAGACCGAUAGCGCACAAGUAGAGUGAUCGAAAGAUGAAAAGCACUUUGGAAAGAGAGUUAAAAAGCACGUGAAAUUGUUGAAAGGGAAGCGCUUGCAACCAGACUUGUCGGCGGUGUUCCGCCGGUCUUCUGACCGGUCUACUCGCCGUCGGCAGGCCAGCAUCAUCUGGGGCCGCCGGAUAAAGGCUCAGGGAAUGUAGCUCCCCUCGGGGAGUGUUAUAGCCCUUUGCACAAUACGGUGCGUCCCGGGUGAGGUCCGCGUCUCGGCAAGGAUGCUGGCGUAAUGGUUGUAAGCGGC
rnacentral:rRNA from 1 species